UACUAGCAUGUAUCACUUUGGUGAACAUGUACCUCUAGCGAGGGAGAGCAAGAGCUUGAGUGAAGCUCAUAGGAACAACAGUAAACUGCAGAAGUGGUGCAAGAAGCAGGACAAGCUGCUCGCCAAGUGUUUCAAGACUAUCAAGUUUCUAACAGAUAAGCUGAGU